AUUGAACGCUGGCGGCAGGCUUAACACAUGCAAGUCGAGCGGAGAUGAGGUGCUUGCACCUUAUCUUAGCGGCGGACGGGUGAGUAAUGCUUAGGAAUCUGCCUAUUAGUGGGGGACAACAUUCCGAAAGGAAUGCUAAUACCGCAUACGUCCUACGGGAGAAAGCAGGGGAUCUUCGGACCUUGCGCUAAUAGAUGAGCCUAAGUCGGAUUAGCUAGUUGGUGGGGUAAAGGCCUACCAAGGCGACGAUCUGUAGCGGGUCUGAGAGGAUGAUCCGCCGCACUGGGACUGAGACACGGCCCAGACUCCUACGGGAGGCAGCGGUGGGGAAUAUUGGACAAUGGGGGGAACCCUGAUCCAGCCAUGCCGCGUGUGUGAAGAAGGCCUUAUGGUUGUAAAGCACUUUAAGCGAGGAGGAGGCUACUGAGACUAAUACUCUUGGAUAGUGGACGUUACUCGCAGAAUAAGCACCGGCUAACUCUGUGCCAGCCGCCGCGGUAA
rnacentral:rRNA from 1 species